GGAAUGCCUGUCACGCCUAGAGGGACCCGCCCCUUUUUCCUUUUCUUUGCUCGGCCUUCCCUCCUUUCCAGUUGCCUGACGCUGGUUGGACUCUCUUUACUUGGUUGAUCAAAGGAGAAGGCGGUGUGCCCACAGUUUGAAACAACGAAUAUAAAGCAGAGUAGAAACAACAAUUUCACAGAAUAAGAAGUUACAUGGAUCGUCCCCGCCACCAUAGCUGGGCCCUGUCAGCAGCAAGUUUUCCUGCAAAAAGAAAAGAAAAAGUAAAAAAGAUCUCUAGGUGUCUUCUUGUGGCCUGCUGAAGAUUCACACAUCGUUGAUUUUAUGCUAAGUGUCUUUUGGCACUUUCAAGACCAACACAUUUAUUUUAUAAUAAUCUUUUAUGGCUAAGAGCCCACCAUCAGACACAAGAAGUACGGUAUAGGCUCUGGACUACGGAAGUUUAUGAUAAAAUGAACGCGUCAGCUUUCAGUGGCCACAAUAUUCUGUUGUAGCAAAGCCAAGAUUGACAUGGUUCCCCUACUAGAAGUAGCUUUUCUUCAGGGAGGCUAGCUGACAUCCUAACUAAAUUUACUAGAAAGGAAGUCUUUCUGAAAUUCAAUAGUUUUUCAGACUGCUCCCUGAAUAAUACCAUUCAAUAUGUUAGUCUGGAUGUCAGCUUGUUAAUAAGUGAUUCACAAGUAAUAAUAGGCGAUAUCAUUAUUAGGACAGGUCACAAAAAAGUGUGCAAUCUUUCAAGCUCAUCAGAACUUUUCAUCAAAAAUGGUGGAUGAAAAGGAUACUGCUCAGUAAGAUUUUCUUUUUUUUAAUUCCAAUCUGUAGUUUGUAAUAACUUCAAAAUAGAAUUGAGGAGUAAAGUUUUUAACACAGAUUUGACAUGAUCCUAAAUAUAUUUACCCAGAAGUAAAUCCCACUGAGGUCAACGGCAUUUACUCUGUAGUAAGUGUGUUUAAGAAUGCAGCCUUAAUUAAUUUUUUGCGUUGCGUGGUGCAAAAAAUCUUGGAGAAGAGAAGCAUGGCUACUGCUAUUUCAAAAAGUUAGUAGUUAUGUGGUUCUCUUUGGCCACAUUCGCAUGCAAUGCGGGACUGUGGGACCCACAGUUCUACUACCCUUCCCCUCUGCUCUCCUGUCCUCAUUCACACUUAACAGACAGGAGGCUCUCUGCAUUCAGGGAGACGGCAGAGAGGAGAGGGCAGGGGCAUAGCAAGACCCCCUGGGGCCAGAGGACAAAACCCAGGUCGGAGGCCCCCAAUGUGCAUGUAAAGCGUGAGUGUGCUCCCACACCGCCUGCUACACCCCCUGUGUCUGGCAUCAGACGCAAGGGACAGGACAGCCAACAUCUCCCCGCCGUCACCUCUGCCCUGCCCAGCCACCACUACCUUCUAGGCCUCCGGCUCUGGGGGGUAGGGGGUGAUCCGAGUGGGACAGGUAGCGGGUGCAGCAUCAGGCCUCUCCACUCUGGGUGAACUGCGCAGGCGCGCAGUUUAGUCAGAGUGGGGAGGCCUGUGCCUGCCAUGUGUUCCGCUCAAUCACCACCCACCCUCCAGAGCCGGAGGCCAAGAUAAGAAGUGGGGGCAGGGCAGAGGCGGCGGUGGGGCAGUCUCCUUGCAGGCCCUCUGACCCAUUGGGCCCAAGGACAUUUGUCCCUGCUUGUCCAAUAGAUGCUAUGCCCCUGGGAGGGAGAACUGGCUGCAUGGGCUUUCUUCUUGACUGAAAGACAGCUCCAGCAGGCAAUCGCAGCUGGAGCGAGGGAGCAGCUUCCUCCCUUAACUCCGGUUGUAGCAGAGUGGGAAUGGUUAAGCAUUUACACAUAACGCUGGCACUGUUAAACUGCAGGUAGGGACGGCGGAACCCCCUACAAACCAAAGGUUCGAAUUGGCGUGUUGGGAGGAAAACCUUGGGUUGCUUUUGGGUCCAAACUCUGGUCGCACACAUUCGGACAUACAAAAAUUUCAGCCGGAAGCCCCUUCAACUCCGGUUUUGUGUUACAUGCGAAUGGGGCUUCUUUGUUUCAAAAGAAAUAGCUGCCAUAUUUCCUUGUAGCUUUUUGUGGCUGCUGAGAUCUUUUUGCACUAAACAUAGCCUAACCAAAUUAAGGCUGUAACAGGGAUAGCCCAAAUUAAUUGGAUGCUGCAGGCAGUGCUUCUGUAUGCUACCCUCUGCCAAACACUGCAGCAGUGCCUGCCCCCCUCCCACUGGUCUUGUUCCUGCCAAAUGCCAUGUUAGCCCCUGCACCAAAUACUGGCUUCCUUCCUCCCCCUCCCCCUCUUGCAGGGAUGUAGUUUUCCUCACUACUCUCCUCUCUUCCACUGCCUCCCCAAAAGGAGAAGCCUAUGUGGGUGACCAAUCAGUAUUUGGCAUGAGGGGAGGUAUUUGGCAUGAGGGGAGGGCUGUGGGCCACCUCCAGCCUCAAGGGUGUGCCUCUGAGUACCAGUUGCAGGGGAGCAAUGGCAGGAGAGAGGGCACGCCCUCAACUCCUGCCUGUGGCUUCCAGCGGCAUCUGGUGGGCCACUGUGCGAAACAGGAUGCUGGACUAGAUGGGCCUUGAGCCUGAUCCAGCAGGGCUGUUCUUAUGUAUGUGUGAGAUGGGGUGUCUCUAGGGUAAGUGUGCAGAGGUUCAUUUCCCCACACACACACGUUGAAGUCUGCUGCCUAUGUGCUUAAUGGAAGGGCUAACCUUGGGCUGCAAUCCUAAACACACUAGGAAGUGAGCACUUCUAAGUAUUGCAUGUGAUUGUGCAAGAAGGGCAAAAACCUAAGCACACUAGGAAAUGGGCCCCAUUGAACUCAAUGGAGUUUACUUCUGAGUAAACAUACUUAGGAUUUCACCAUCCAUUUGGAUGACACCUUCCCCAUUCCAUUUUAAGACAGCAGACUAGAGGUUUUGCAUUUUGUCCAGCAACUUCCUUCUCUUUUGUCCUCACCCCCACCCCCACUUUUGUGGUUUUUACUUAACAUAUAGCCUUAUGAAGAAUUUUAAUGAACUUAAAAUUUUUGUUCUUUGUGACCUUUUGGCAGUCUUAAUAAACCUUAUUACCCUACUGUUAUUUUGGAAUUUUAAAUCCCCCCCACCUUUUCUUUUUAGCUUGAAAAGUGAUGGAUGCAAAGCUUGUGCAAGUUACAGCCUCUAUUUCAAGCUAAUUCACCGCAUAGGGUUGUUGUUGCAAAGCUAAGAUAGUAAUGCUAACCAUAUUUGCUUGAAUAUUUUUUAUUUAUUUCAGUGUGGGUUGCUUCCAUAAAGCUAUGCUUGGACUGCAGUCCCAAAAUCUUCAUUGUAAAAAUAAUAUGCCUCGCUGGAUCAGACUAGUUCAGAGUUCUGGACUAGUCCAUCUAGUCCAGAGUUCUGUCUCUCAACAAUGGUAAUCUGGAUGUCUCCAAGGAAACUUACAAGGAGAGCAUGAUGGUGACAGCCUUUCCCUGCUCGGUCCCAACAUCUUGUAAUUAAAGGUAUAUUGCGUCUAAAUAUUGAAGUUUCCUUUGACUGCCAUGUUUGAGUGUGCCAUAGACAGAGUAGGGUGAAAGGUGGAUUUUCCCAGUGUGCAGCUCUUGAGCAGGGGGACAGCAAGGGCUGAGGAAGAAAAGAAAUGUGAGCAUCUGGCUGUGAAGGGAGUUAAACAUGUCAUGUGUUUCUUCAGGCCUGAUAAAAGGCAUUUUUCUAUUGUUUGAAAUAAUAAAAUUUUAAAAAAUGUCUUUGAAUAUUCAUAUGUGGAAGACAUCCAUAAUGAACUGUUCUAGGACUAUCAUUUUUGCUCAGAAAUGGAAGAUGUGCAGGUCUUUUUUUAAAUCAAUAUUUUUUAAAAUUUAAUAACAUUUACUAAGCAUCAAACAAAUGGAUCAGAGAACAAAUCAAUCCAGAAUUUUCACCUGAGGCACAAAUGACCAGGCUCAAACUAUCAUACUUUGGACACAUUAUGCGAAGAUCCAGCUCCCUUGAGAAGUCCAUAACGCUGGGGAAAGUUGAAGGAAAGAGAAGAAGAGGACGACCAGCAGCAAGGUAGAUGGACUUGAUUACGACAGCAGUGAAUGCACCACUGAGAGACCUUAAAGACCAAGAUGAAGACAGAUCAUCCUGGAGAAAAUCUAUCUAUAUGGUUGUUAAGAGUCAGCACCAACUUGACGGCACUUAAUCAAUCAGUCAAGCAUCAACAUAAUUACAAGUCACACAAGAAGAGUUCUCAUACAUCUUCCCCCAAAAAGAAUAAAACAAUAAGCUUUAAAUAAUAGAAAACAUUUAGUAUAAAUCUGAUCAUUAACCUUCUUAUUCCAGUUAUUGAUAAAUAAAACCCAUUUUUAAUAAA